UACGGGGGAGCAAGCGUUGUUCGGAAUCACUGGGCGUAAAGGGAGUCUAGGCGGUUUGGUAAGUGGGAUGUGAAAUGCCCGGGCUCACCCCGGGACCUGCAUCCCAAACUGCUGAGCUUGAGUACAGGAGAGGGUGGGGGAAUUCCAGGUGUAGCGGUGAAAUGCGUAGAUAUCUGGAGGAACACCGGUGGCGAAGGCGCCCACCUGGCCUGCUACUGACGCUGAAGCUCGAAAGCUAGGGAGCAAACGGGAGUAGAAACCCCGU
rnacentral:rRNA from 1 species